UUAACGCGUCACGGGCGGCCUGGCAGCUGGCGGCAUUGAGGCGGACGCGUCUAGAGGUCCGUCUGACCGCGGCGUCGGGACCUGGUUUCCGGGCAUGAGCUGAGAGCACCACGCCGAGGCCACGAGUAUUUCAUAGACAUUGAUGGAAGCAGAAACCAAAACUCUUCCCCUGGAGAAUGCAUCCAUCCUUUCAGAGGGCUCUCUGCAGGAAGGACACCGAUUAUGGAUUGGCAACCUGGACCCCAAAAUUACCGAAUACCACCUCCUCAAGCUCCUCCAGAAGUUUGGCAAGGUAAAGCAGUUUGACUUCCUCUUCCACAAGUCAGGUGCUUUGGAGGGACAGCCUCGAGGCUACUGUUUUGUUAACUUUGAAACUAAGCAGGAAGCAGAGCAAGCCAUCCAGUGUCUCAAUGGCAAGUUGGCCCUGUCCAAGAAGCUGGUGGUGCGAUGGGCACAUGCUCAAGUAAAGAGAUAUGAUCAUAACAAGAAUGAUAAGAUUCUUCCAAUCAGUCUCGAGCCAUCCUCAAGCACUGAGCCUACUCAGUCUAACCUAAGAGGACCUCAGCUUACAUCUCUCUAUUAACAUCUAUGCCUAAUGAGAGAAGGUUGCUUCCCUGUGACUUAUACAAAAUCAGUGACCAGCUGUGGCAUUAAUGGAAGAGGGGCCAGAAUGCAUCUCGUGUCACUGCAAAGAUAAAAGCCAUUGAAGCAAAACUGAAAAUGAUGGCGGAAAAUCCUGAUGCAGAGUAUCCAGCAGCGCCUGUUUAUUCCUACUUUAAGCCACCAGAUAAAAAAAGGACUACUCCAUAUUCUAGAACAGCAUGGAAAUCUCGAAGAUGAUGGUUGUGAAUUACUGUAGCAGCAAAAGCAAAUUGGUCUCCACACCUAAAAUCGUCUGCCUGUGUACUUUGUAGAUGUGAAUGGUACUAUUCAACGGAGCACAAUCACAUGUUAGCAUUUGGUAACAUAAUGUUUUUGGAUGUUCUUAUGGAUGUUUCUUCCCUAAACUAUGUAUGGAAUUGAGCAUCAUCCAGAAUAAAUAGCGUUGUAUCCCAAAUUGUGAUUUGAACCCUGGGAUGCUCUAAUUGGCUGGUUGGUUUGGAUUUGUAACUCCAGAAACAUUCUAUAGUGUGCCAGAGCAAAAGGCAAAUACACAAAAUAUUAUUUAAAUCAGGAAACUAAAAAUAUUAACAUCUAUUAAAAAAUUGAGCAUUUUUCUACGCUCGUGUGUCUUUUACAACAUAAAGAAAAAGUAAAAGGCAGGGAGGGAAGUGAGAGACAGAUUUUAAAUCAUGUUCAGAACUGUUGUUCCAGAAUUUACUACGGCAAUCCCUCCAACUGGACUGAAAAAGAGAAAGUUCUUGGCAAAAAGGAGCUGAUUCUUUGAACAAAUGUUGUAGUAAUCUGUUUAAGAAUUAUGCUUAUUGUUUCAAAAUCCCAACUAGGAAAACAUGGUGUAUAUCUUAAAAUUGUUUGUGUUGACAAAACUAGAAUCAAAUUUAACAUUUUAUACCACAACACAAGUUCUAUUUGGAAAUUGAACUUUUAUUCUAUAGCAACCAUUUUUUUCAAAUCUAAAUAACCAUGCCUUCUAUAAUAACAAAUGUUGCUAUUAUCAUGGGACUUUUAAAAUUACAUUUAUUGCAUGGGAUUGUUUUUAUAGCAUGAGAAUGUUCUGUUUGGAAUUAUAUCAUGGUCAGUCUAAAUAGAAAAAGCAAAAUUUCUUUGAAAACCUAAACAUUGCUAUAUUGGUCACUAUCAAACAUACAAUUUUCUAAUAAUUGUGUAGCGGUCUAAGUGGAAGAGAUUGCAUUAUCUUGUGCAGGACGAGGAGAGGACAUGCAGUGGGCACAGAAAGUCAAUGGAACAGAUGCCACUGUGGCACCAAGACUGUAAUGACUCUGUGUGGUAGGUAGUUUUAAAGGACUGCAUGCCUUGGAAAUGAUUCUUCACUUGGAGAACAUACUUGCCUCUAGAUAUGUUUGUCACUCUAAGCAUCCUGAAUAUAACAAUAGAGAAAGAUAAGUCAACCAACAGAUUUAGGGAUGUGUUUCUUCAGCACAUUUUGGUCAUUUUGAUGCCAAGUUUGACAUACUGUUUAAUUGGGCAGCACCUUUGCUCCUUUACCAGGUAUGUAUCACUUUGUUACUCCAGGUGCCAUUCUUGGUGAUGACAGAAUGUUUAUCACUAUCGUUGUUAGCAAGAGGAAGCUUUCAAUAUAGGAACUUAACAUCUUCCCAUGAGUAUAAAUGAAUUUAAGACAUUUGAAUCAAAACUUCAGUAGAGGGAGGUUUUAGAAUUCAUAAAACUGGUUUAAGGAAAUUCUUUUUACUUUUCCCAAGGUUAAUCUUUUUAAAUAUCUCUAGACAUCAAAUACUUUCUGUAUGUAUUAGCUGUGUCUGUCUAUGAUGCAAGUAACUCUCCUCCUAUUUGGGGGAUAGUUCAGAGAGGUAGGAGCAUUAUCUCCCAUUUUUCUGGUGACUUCUUGGAGUAUAGAAUUCACCAUUUUAUCCGUAAGUCUUCAAAGGAUUAUGGUGGACUAGAACUUACAUAGUGCAAAAUAGUCUUCUAUUUUUAAUAGGAACUUAGAAAAAACUUAGAAUUAUAUAUAGAGUUGUUUCCUUUAGAAACCAGAGCUAUUUAUUUGUAUUUAAAGCACUGUUUAUUAUUUGUACUGAUUCUUAUCCCUCUGUGUGAAUAAAUGUAAGACGGUGUCCGUGUGGUUAUAUCUUCUCUCGUUCACUUACUGGCAUAGACUGCAGUUCUCUGACAGGCUUGUUUCCACUCAGGACUCUGGCCAGCAUGUCCACGUGGGGUGCUUCUUCUAAGUGCCUUCUCUGCAGAGGGUUCUGGCUAGAGAGUCAAACUGAGAGGCAACUCUCUUUACCCUUUAUGCCUGCCUACCUCUGUUGUUAGAGAUGAGAAUAGAGACCAGCUGUUUCCAUUGCAAAUGUCACUAUUUGAAAAGAAGUUGUUAAUGGAAAUCUCUGCAAGUAUCGUACUGUGUUUAGUCUCUCGUGGUAGAGAUUUCAAAAGAAGAAAUGUAUGUAUCCUAAAUAUGCUGAAAGCAGUCUGAUGAAAGGUUUUUAAAUUUCAGGUGUUAACUUGGUCAACUCUUUGUUAGGAGGUUGUCUGUACUUUAAGUAAAAUUAUUCUUUGGUUUACUGGUUAUUUUGGUUUGCUAAAAUUAUGUCACUUAUAAUUUUGAUUUAUAUACAAGAGUGAAGAAUUGAAGGAAAUACUGAGGAGAGACGUAUGAACUAUUUUCUUCAUCUCAAUUCCUAUUUUAUCAAAUGCAAAAUGUAAUCCUAACCAGUUGAUUUUCUAUAAUUGGUAUCUUAGUACUGGGGAGGAGUAUCACAUGAGGAAAGAUUUUUCAAAGCAUGUCAGCUGAGGCACAAGAAUCGCUUGAACCCAGGAGGUAGAGGUUCCAGUGAGCCGAGAUUGUGCCACUGCACUCCAGCCUGGGCAACAGAGUGAGACACCGUCUCAAAAAAAACAAAAACAAAACAGGUCAAAAAUCAGUUGCACAAGUUGUAUGAAACCAGGUAUUCUGCAGCUCUGUCUCUUGUUUAUUAAGAUAUGCACAGUUUCUGAAUCAACAAAUAUAUCUGUGAUUCUUUUAUACUACUACAUAAAAGAACAGGAGUAAUUCUUGCCUUAUAAAUUAAAUGUCAAACAUUUCCUAUAUGUAAUCAUUUGUUCCUAAAAUAUGAUUUAGUCCCAGCAUGCUUAUCCCUGUUUUCUCUUUUUCUCUCCAGCUCCUAUCUAGUUCUUCAACAAAUCCUGUCAACUCUACCUUCCAAAUGCCUCUUGAAUCCAGCCAUCUCACCACCUCCAACACUACCACCAUUUUUCUUAAAGCCACCAUCAUCUCUUCCCUGGACUAUUACAAUACCUUCCUAAUUAUCUCCCUGCCUCUGCUAUUGAUUCUUUAGGGUCCGUUUUCCACACAGUAGCCAAAGCAAUUUUUAAAAAAAUUAUUUUAAAAUGUGAUUCUCUUCUUUGUGGCUUUCCAUCACAGCCUAGAAAAAAUUGAAAGAUCUGUAAGGCCCUAAUGACCUGUCCUUCACUACGUGUCUGACCCUAUAGCCUACUGUUCUCCCCUUGUGCGGUGUACUGCAGCCACGUUGGCCUUCUUGCUAUUCUUUGAAUACAAGGGAGCUUCUACUUCAAGGCAUUUACAUUGGCUGUUGCCUUAGCUUAGAACGCUCUUUCUCCAGAUAGCCGCAGAGCCCGCUCUCUCACCUGACUCAUGUCUCUGCUCAAAUGUUAAUGAUCAAGAGGCAGUCCCCGGCCUCCCUCUUAAAAUUACAACCUGUCACUCUCCAAUCCUUUCCUCACGAUUUUCUCAAAAGCACUUACCGCUAACCAACAUUAUAUCUAAAUUUUUUUUUGUCUCUUUUUAUUGGAAUGUAAGUUUCAUGUAAGCAGGAACUGUAUAUCACUGCUAUACCCUCAGCAUUUAAAACAAUGGCUGUACAUCAUACAUACUCAAUAAAUAUUUGUUGGAUAAACUACAAGAAUUCUGGUAUUUGAGAGCCAAAGGGCCUUAAGAGACCAUCUCAUAUAGCCCCCUCAUUGUCCAGAUGGGGAAAACGGGAACCCAGAGAGACAAAGCGAUUUGGCCAGGGUCACCUGGUUAAUGGGAGAGCUUUAGGUAGAACCCAGGCCUGCAAACAUCUAGUCCAGUGUUCAGCAAACUGGCCUCUGCCUCCUAAUUUUGUAUAGCCUACAAGUUAAGAAUGAUUUUUUUUUCAUUUUCGAGUGGUUGAGAAAAAAAGUAAACAAAAUAUAUAUACUAUAUUGUGACAUGAAAAUGAUACGAAAUUCAAAUCUCAGUGUAUGUUAAUAACUAUUAGAACACAACCAUGCCCAGGCAUUUACAUGUGGCUGUUUUCCCCAUAUAAUAGAAGAGUUGAAUAGUUGGCAAUGAAGACUGUGGCCUACAAAACCUGAAAUAUAUACUAUCGGUCCCUUUACAGGAAAAAUUUGCCAAACCCUACUCUAAACAAUAUUCCAUGACUGGAAAUGUGUUUUCUAAAAUUCUCGUAUUAAUGCAGAGAAUAAAAGCAACAGAUGUCAGAAUGAUGUGCACCGAA